rnacentral:tRNA from 2 species
GCGUAGCUCAGCUGGAUAGAGCGUCUGGCUACGGACCAGAAGGUCGCGGGUUCGAAUCCUGUCG